rnacentral:lncRNA from 1 species
GCUCUGAGGACCCACAUCCCCAGACAGAAGCCUCAAAGCUAAAGGGAUGUGGAAGCUUUAGGAAAGUCUGGGGUGGAAGAAACUGCCAACCCUGUCCUGUAAACAGGUUUGCCAUACUGGUAAAAAAAAAAAAAAUAAUCACAGCUGUGACAGGGACAUACUAGUAGAAAAAUGCUACUGUACUAAGAAUCCACCUCACUUUCUCUCCCCAGCCAGUCCAGCCAAGCAUGCAGCAGGCAUACAACCAAGAUAGCUGCUUCUUCCUGUCCUACCUCAUCCCCUCUGACAGUUCCAUAAUAACCUGUGUACACUUUCUGGCACCCUUGCUUCUCCAGGUCACGCCUUCCAAUGGAAGGGGAAGCAGUGACAAAGGUGAAAAUCAUGGCGGUAACAGAAGUCAUUUACAGCGCGGAGUCUCCAACCCACAAUCACUGGGCAUCCCAUGGCUUUAAGAGCUCUGAAUGAUCAAUGGGAAAUAACUGCUAAGUCACCCAGCACAGAUUUUCGUCAUUACCUGUUCCUGCUCUGGACUCAGCCCCAGCCCUGGGGAGCUUCUAAACCAUGCGUUCAGCUCCUUCGGGACCCACUUGAUUACCCUGGAAACAGCAAGACAGCUCCAGCUCAAAAAUCAGAUGAUGCUAGGAUUUUUUCAUUUUUUAUUAUAAGAUUAAAGGGAAAAUGGUUACCCCUAUGGCUUGACAAACACAUAUAGUUUAUUUCAAAAAUGGGUAGCUGUGGGAAAGAAAGGAAUAUCUGAGCACAUGAUUUUAUCCAAUUAUGGCAAGAUUUAGUAUAAAUCAAAAACACCAAUCCUGAAUUCUUGUAGCUGAUUAGAUCUUCAUUCUUUCAUUCAUUGUAAUAGAAAUAGUGGCAGGAGCCCAUAGUGCCAGCUACCUUGGAGGCUGAGGCCGGAGGGUCCCCAGAGCCCAGGAGUUUGAGUCUAGUGUGGGCAAUAUAGUGAGACCCUGUCUCCUAAAAAAAUACAUAAUUUAAUGGACAGCUACUUUGUGCUGUGUUCUGUGCAAGGCACUAGUAUUGGAGAGUCCAUUGACAAUCAGAAAGAGAUCUUGUUCACAGAGGAGAGUAAUGAAUUAACAGAGGAAAUGAAUGUGUGUGGAUUGUUCUAAUACCAGAUAGAGGGCGGCAGCAAUGAUGGCAGAGGUUGACCUAGAAUGCUAUUGUUUCAAGAGAGGGAGAGUUUCCCUUGGCUUGAUGAUCCAAGGAAGACUUGUUGAAGAAAAU